rnacentral:rRNA from 1 species
AGAUGGCGACCGGCGCACGGGUGAGUAACACGUAUCCAACCUGCCGAUAACUCGGGGAUAGCCUUUCGAAAGAAAGAUUAAUACCCGAUGGUGUAGUCAGACCGCAUGGUUUGAUUAUUAAAGAAUUUCGGUUAUCGAUGGGGAUGCGUUCCAUUAGGCAGUUGGUGAGGUAACGGCUCACCAAACCUUCGAUGGAUAGGGGUUCUGAGAGGAAGGUCCCCCACAUUGGAACUGAGACACGGUCCAA